rnacentral:lncRNA from 1 species
UAUAAUACUAUAAUAAUUUUACAUUGAAUAAAAAAAUUUAAUUAAAAAUAUAAAAGAGCACACAUCGUAAUAAUAAUAAAAAAAAAAACUUCAAAUAUCUUGCACUUUCUCAUUUCGAUACCAUAUGGUUUAAAGCAUAUCGAUUUAGUACUUUAUGAUUUUAUUUUUCUAUUUUUAUUAUUAUUUCUUUCAUUAAUUUUUUUUCAUUAAAUCAGUGACAAAGUAACGGAGAAACUGACGAAAGAGAAAAAUAAAAUCACAGAGUACUAAAUUGAUACACUUUAAACCACAAAAGUGAGAAAGUGCGAAACUAUAGGGGUGGCAUUUGAAGUUUGCCCUAAUAAUAAUAAUAACUAACUAAAUAUUUUUAAUGGAUGGUUCGAGCUUAACGAAUUAUUAGUGUCAGCAGAUUUAAUCAUUAUAGCUAAUAUUAGAGUUAAAUAUCAGUCGAAAGUGUGAAAACAAGAUGCAACACUCUGGAUUUAAUUGGAGUCGACUUUUGGAUUUCAUAUUGCCUUAUAGUUACAAAUGAUCUAUUUUUGAGAGUUUGAAAAUUGAAAACCAGGUGAUUGAUAAAUUAGAUAAUACUUUUUUUUAUUUAUUUUUAAGUAAAUAAGAAUGGAUAUAAAUAA